GGUGUGCUACCAGAGGAGGAAGCUUGUGAAAUACUCACUCCAAAAUGGACUGCUUGGGAAAAAAGAAAGAACAGAAAAUGUUAAAGUACGGACAUCUGACUUGUUCAGGAUCCUAUUCCUGUCUGGGCUACUCUGACCAGCAGUUAAAACAGACGCUGAAUGCAAGG